rnacentral:snRNA from 1 species
GGAAGUGAGGAUGAUCUGAAUGUGACAUUUGUCACUCUGUUGAUCACAAAGACUAAUUGGUGGAUCUUGCUGGCUAGGUGGUUGCCCCCUUCUUCCCUCACCACUCUAUGAGGGUCACUCCUGGUGCUGCACCCUCAGCUAAAGAGAAUUUACUUCCCAAAGAAAAGGACCUGAGAGAGAGUAAAGUGGGUAGGGUGCUACUGUGCACAUAGCCAACCUGAGUU